rnacentral:rRNA from 1 species
AUUGAACGCUGGCGGCAGGCCUAACACAUGCAAGUCGAGCGGAGCGGCGGACGGGUGAGUAAUGCCUAGGAAUCUGCCUGGUAGUGGGGGAUAACGUCCGGAAACGGGCGCUAAUACCGCAUACUAUCAGAUGAGCCUAGGUCGGAUUAGCUAGUUGGUGGGGUAACGGCCCACCAAGGCGAUGAUCAGUAGCCGGUCUGAGAGGAUGACCAGCCACACUGGAACUGAGACACGGUCCAGACUCCUACGGGAGGCAGCAGUGGGGAAUAUUGCACAAUGGGCGCAAGCCUGAUGCAGCCAUGCCGCGUGUAUGAAGAAGGCCUUCGGGUUGUAAAGUACUUUCAGCGAGGAGGCGUUACUCGCAGAAGAAGCACCGGCUAACUCCGUGCCAGCAGCCGCGGUAAUUC